rnacentral:lncRNA from 1 species
CACCUGUAGAUUAUAAAUCAGAUGUUAGGAGAACAGAGCCGAAAGAUACCCACCUGUAGAUUAUAAAUCAGAUGUUAGGAGAACAGAGCCAGCCCACCUGUAGAUUAUAAAUCAGAUGUUAGGAGAAUAGAGCCUGUAGAUUAUAAAUCAGAUGUUAGGAGAAGAGAGACUAGAUUAUAAAUCAGAUGUUAGGAAAAUAGAGACUGUAGAUUAUAAAUCAGAUGUUAGGAGAAGAGAGACUGUAGAUUAUAAAUCAGAUAUUAGGAGAAUAGAGCCUGUAGAUUAUAAAUCAGAUAUUAGUAGAAUAGAGACUGUAGAUUAUAAAUCAGAUGUUAGGAGAAUAGAGACUGUAGAUUAUAAAUCAGAUGUUAGGAGAAUAGAGCUUGUAGAUUAUAAAUCAGAUGUUAGGAGACUGUAGAUUAUAAAUCAGAUGUUAGGAGAAUAGAGCUUGUAGAUUAUAAAUCAGAUGUUAGGAGAAUAGAGCCUGUAGAUUAUAAAUCAGAUGUUAGGAGACUAGCCUGUAGAUUAUAAAUCAGAUGUUAGGAGAAGAGAGACUAGAUUAUAAAUCAGAUGUUAGGAGAAUAGAGCCUGUAGAUUAUAAAUCAGAUGUUAGGAGAAUAGUGACUUGUACUUCACAGCUGGACCUCUGAGGUGCUGUUCAGACGAGGACAUUGUAGACCAGGGCUGGGGGGGUCAAUUCUAUUUCAAAUCAGGAGGUAAAGCCAAAAUUCCAAUUCCAAUGUUCCACAUUGAAAAGUAGAAAACAGGAGAAUUGGAAUUUCAGUUGUACUUCCUGAAUUGACUGAUUUGAAAUGAAUUUGAGCCCAACCCCACUAUAGACACAGAGCAUGAAGAGAAACCAGGAGUUACUGUACCAGGACAGAAACAUGUCCAUGUCCUCUGCACUGUUACAUUAGUGCAGCACUGUCUGAACAGGAUUUUCUGUACCAGGACAGAAACAUGUCCUCUGCACUGUUACAUUAGUGCAGCACUGUCUGAACAGGAUUUACUGUACCAGGACAGAAACAUGUCCUCUGCACUGUUACAUUAGUGCAGCACUGUCUGAACAGGAUUUACUGUACCAGGACAGAAACAUGUCCUCUGCACUGUUACAUUAGUGCAGCACUGUCUGAACAGGAGUUACUGUACCAGGACAGAAACAUGUCCUCUGCACUGUUACAUUAGUGCAGCACUGUCUGAACAGGAGUUACUGUACCAGGACAGAAACAUGUCCUCUGCACUGUUACAUUAGUGCAGCACUGUCUGAACAGGAUUUACUGUACCAGGACAGAAACAUGUCCUCUGCACUGUUACAUUAGUGCAGCACUGUCUGAACAGGAUUGAAAUGUAUAGCUUUGUCUCUAGCCUGAGUGCCAGUCUGUUUGUACUAUCAUGCCAACUCCCUGUCACUCAUUGUCACAAUGAGCAAUGGACUGGUAAGAACACAAACAGAUCUGGGAUCAGGCUGUAGAAGGAGACAACAGAUCUACCACUAUAUAGGGAAUAGGGCUCUGGUCUAUAGUAGUACCACUAUAUAGGGAAUAGGGCUCUGGUCUAAAGUAGUGCACUAUAUAGGGAAUAGGGCUCUGGUCUAUAGUAGUACCACUAUAUAGGGAAUAGGGCUCUGGUCUAUAGUAGUGCCACUAUAUAGGGAAUAGGGCUCUGGUCUAUAGUAGUACCACUAUAUAGGGAAUAGGGCUCUGGUCUAUAGUAGUACCACUAUAUAGGGAAUAUGGCUCUGGUCUAUAGUAGUACCACUAUAUAGGGAAUAGGGCUCUGGUCUAUAGUAGUACCACUAUAUAGGGAAUAGGGCUCUGGUCUAUAGUAGUACCACUAUAUAGGGAAUAGGGCUCUGGUCUAUAGUAGUACCACUAUAUAGGGAAUAGGGCUCUGGUCUAAAGUAGUGCACUAUAUAGGGAAUAGGGCUCUGGUCUAUAGUAGUACCACUAUAUAGGGAAUAGGGCUCUGGUCUAUAGUAGUACCACUAUAUAGGGAAUAGGGCUCUGGUCUAUAGUAGUACCACUAUAUAGGGAAUAGGGCUCUGGUCUAUAGUAGUACCACUAUAUAGGGAAUAUGACUCUGGUCUAUAGUAGUACCACUAUAUAGGGAAUAGGGCUCUGGUCUAUAGUAGUACCACUAUAUAGGGAAUAGGACUCUGGUCUAUAGUAGUACCACUAUAUAGGGAAUAGGGCUCUGGUCUAUAGUAGUACCACUAUAUAGCGAGAAGUGUGUGAAUUGUGCAUCCCAGAAGCCUCAACAGAGCAAUGCUCUUUAACGUGUGUGUGUGUGUGUGUGUGUGUGUGUGUGUGUGUGUGUGUGUGUGUGUGUGUGUGUGUGUGUGUGUGUUGCGUUAUCUUGGUGAGUGUGCGUUAUCUUGGUGAGUGUGCGUUAUCUUGGUGAGUGUGCGUUAUCUUGGUGAGUGUGCGUUAUCUUGGUGAGUGUGCGUUAUCUUGGUGAGUGUGCGUUAUCUUGGUGAGUGUGCGUUAUCUUGGUGAGUGUGCGUUAUCUUGGUGAGUGUGCGUUAUCUUGGUGAGAGUGCGUUAUCUUGGUGAGUGUGCGUUAUCUUGGUGAGAGUGCGUUAUCUUGGUGAGAGUGCGUUAUCUUGGUGAGAGUGCGUUAUCUUGGUGAGUGUGCGUUAUCUUGGUGAGUGUGCGUUAUCUUGGUGAGUGUGCGUUAUCUUGGUGAGUGUGCGUUAUCUUGGUGAGAGUGCGUUAUCUUGGUGAGUGUGCGUUAUCUUGGUGAGUGUGCGUUAUCUUGGUGAGUGUGCGUUAUCUUGGUGAGUGUCGUUAUCUUGGUGAGUGUGUGUUAUCUUGGUGAGUGUGCGUUAUCUUGGUGAGUGUGCGUUAUCUUGGUGAGUGUGCGUUAUCUUGGUGAGUGUGUCAUUAUCUAGUAAUAUAUUCAUUCCAACACUGGUUAUUGAUUGUUGUGUUUUCUCUGAUGUGGAUUAGUAUUAAUAUUAUCUCUAGUAUUAAUAUUAUCUCUAGUAUUAGUAUUAAUUACUGUGUUGUGUGUUAGACUUACAGCCUGAAGUAUCUGUACGUGUCCCUGAUAUUAACAUGGAUUCUGGGAAGUGAUGGCCACCAGUGUGUCAGUGUUCUUCAGAGAGGAGUCAUAAAGUAUCAUGUGACAUAUUCCUAUUGUAGUAAAUCUAGGUUUUUCUACUAGUGUUUAACAUCGCUCCGUUGUUGAUGUGUUGCUGAAUGUGAUUAUUACAGAUUCAAACUAUCUUUUAUUUCAAUGCGAUUGACAUUUUCUAGACAAAGGGGUGAUUUGAGAUCACUUCCCUCUUUUUAUCGUUUGUUUACAGAUGAACUACUAGCAUAUAGUAUACAGUCAUUCAGUAUGUAGUAUUCAGUAUGUUAGUAUCUGAACACAGCCAAGGACUUGUUUAACUACUACAGAUGAACUACUAGCAUAUAGUAUACAGUCAUUCAGUAUAUAGUAUUCAAUAUGUUAGUAUCUGAACACAGCCAAGGACUUGUUUAACUACUACAGAUGAACUACUAGCAUAUAGUAUACAGUCAUUCAGUAUAUAGUAUUCAGUAUGUUAGUAUCUGAACACAGCCAAGGACUUGUUUAACUACUACAGAUGAACUACUAGCAUAUAGUAUACAGUCAUUCAGUAUAUAGUAUUCAGUAUGUUAGUAUCUGAACACAGCCAAGGACUUGUUUAACUACUACAGAUGAACUACUAGCAUAUAGUAUACAGUCAUUCAGUAUAUAGUAUUCAAUAUGUUAGUAUCUGAACACAGCCAAGGACUUGUUUAACUACUACAGAUGAACUACUAGCAUAUAGUAUACAGUCAUUCAGUAUAUAGUAUUCAAUAUGUUAGUAUCUGAACACAGCCAAGGACUUGUUUAACUACUACAGAUGAACUGCUAGCAUAUAGUAUACAGUCAUUCAGUAUAUAGUAUUCAAUAUGUUAGUAUCUGAACACAGCCAAGGACUUGUUUAACUACUACAGAUGAACUACUAGCAUAUAGUAUACAGUCAUUCAGUAUAUAGUAUUCAAUAUGUUAGUAUCUGAACACAGCCAAGGACUUGUUUAACUACUACAGAUGAACUACUAGCAUAUAGUAUACAGUCAUUCAGUAUAUAGUAUUCAAUAUGUUAGUAUCUGAACACAGCCAAGGACUUGUUUAACUACUACAGAUGAACUACUAGCAUAUAGUAUACAGUCAUUCAGUAUGUAGUAUUCAGUAUGUUAGUAUCUGAACACAGCCAAGGACUUGUUUAACUACUACAGAUGAUACCGUACAGUAAAACACAAGCAUGUCUUUGUUUAGAAAAGGUCAGGAAGUAAGAAUCAAUGAAUGACUUCCUCAAUAGUUAAUUGCUGCAUCACAUAGUAGUUUCUGAUAGGACUGUUCGCUGUGUUUUUUGUUGUUUUUCUUGAGUUUUCAGAGGUGUGUAGUUGAUUUUGAAAUUGUCAAAGUUUUUUGUACGAUUGUUAAUCGACCAGUUACGUCUAACAGGACAGGUCUCUUCAGCAAUAUGAACGAUUUUCAUUUGUGACGGUUCUGCCCUUUCUCAGUUUUACUAUUGAUGGAUUGAAAGGUAUGUAACUGCCCCCAACAAAACGAACAUCCAUUUUAGUUUUUAUCGCUGGCCUAACUUUGUGUGUUGUGCAGUUGUAUUGUUUAACCAUUAAAACACAGAUGGCCUCAUCCUCUCGUCCUGUUUUAUACUGAUGCUGAAAUGUGUAUUUUAUUCUACUGACACGUUUACUUUAUGGUCCUAUUUUCUUCUCUUGUAUUAUUUCUUCUU